rnacentral:piRNA from 1 species
UCCUGACCUAACAUGGACAAGGCCAUGGG